rnacentral:rRNA from 1 species
CGCGUAGGUGGUAGUGUAAGUCUGGGGUGGAAUGCCGGGGCUUAACCCUGGAAUUGCCUUGGAAACUGCAUUACUUGAGUCAGUGAGGGGAGGGUAGAAUUCCUGGUGUAGCGGUGAAAUGCGUAGAUAUCAGGAGGAAGGCCUGUGGCGAAGGCGGCCCUCUGGUGCUGGACUGACACUGAGGCGCGAAAGCGUGGGGAGCAAACAGGAUUACGAUACCCUGGUAGUCCACGCCCUAAACGGUGGGCACUAGGUGUAGGGCUCGUAAGGGUUCUGUGCCGAAGGGAAACCAUUAAGUGCCCCGCCUGGGGAGUACGGCCGCAAGGUUGAA